rnacentral:rRNA from 1 species
GAUGAACGCUGGCGGCGUGCCUAAUACAUGCAAGUAGAACGCAGUCGCGAACGGGUGAGUAACGCGUAGGCAACUGGAUGGUAGCGGGGGAUAAAUAUUGGAAACGAUAGCUAAUACCGCAUACUACCAGAUGGACCUGCGUUGUAUUGUCUAGUUGGUCAGGUACCGGCUCACCAAGGCAACGAUACAUAGCCGACCUGAGAGGGUGGACGGCCCACAUGGGACUGAGACAAGGGCCCGACUCCUACGGGGGGCAGCAUGAGGGAAACAUCGGCAAGUGGGGGAACCCUUACCGAGCAACGGCGGUGUAGUGAAGAAGGGUUUCGGAUCGGAAAGCUAUGUUGUUAAGGGAGCGUUACUGACCCAGAAAGGGACGGCUAACUACGUGCCAGCAGCCGCGGUAAUUC